rnacentral:lncRNA from 1 species
UUUUUAAACAUGCAGUCAUUGUUCUUUCAGAUAAUUUAAAUAUAUAAUUGCAUGAAAAAAAUUUCCACUCUUUUUUUGCUUACUAUGCAGAUUUCCAAACCUGAAGAAAAAUGAUGAAAGAGGCCCAUUUUUAUUUUGCUAACUGAGUAACUUUGUGACAUAGCCCGUGAAUUUUGAAUUCUACAUACAAAAUGGACUUUUUGGAAUAAAACAUUGUAUGCUUCCAAAACUGUUGAUAGCACUUCCAUGUUUGUUCUGUUCUUAAUGAUAUUUGGAUAACAUUAAAGUAGAUGACAUGUCUAUGUGGUCCCAGUCUGACUGAGUGUAUAUGUGUAUGUGAGUGCACCCUGUGAUGGGAUGGCAUUCUGUCCAGGGUUUGUUCCUGCUUUGGCCCUGAGCUACCAGAGCCUCACGAUCCUGAGCUAGAGUAAGCAGGUUGGAAAAUGAAUGAAGGAAGAAAUGAAUACAAAUUAUUGUCAAAUCAAAAUUCAUUAAGACUUGAUAAUCAUGCAAAUGUGCAACAAUAAAUGAUAAGGUAUGAAAGUGCUCAGCUCACCCACUGAAGUAGUGAAGGACUUGCCAUCCCAAAAUAUGCUGAAUUGGUAUAUUGAUUAUUCUGAUUUGAAAACAUUGGAGAAAUUAUAGUUUCAGAAAGGGGAGGUAACCUGUCUCUUCCUGCAUGUAGCAAGUCAUAAAGAAUUCUCUGGGAGAGAUGCCCUUCCCCACCAGGGUGUAAAAAUAGCCCUUACCAGGGUGUGAAAAUAGCCCUACUAGAAACUGGGAAUUGGAAGAUGCAGUAGACCUGAAUAAAUAUACUUAAUAAAGUAACACUUACCUUCCACUACACCCCUCCCUCAUGUAUCUCCUAGUGAUUUCCCUAAAAGUGUACUGCUUCUAGACAGAUCUCUUUUUUCCCUGUCAUUUCUUCUCAAAUUUAAUGUUCUUUGUCUAAAAAAGUAUAAAAGCAUCUUCCCUUGGCCAUCUUUGGACUUCACUCGUGAAGAUCCCCAUAUACAUAUAAAACUAAUAAAGUUUGUAUGUUUUCCUCUUGUUAAUCUGCCUGGUGUAAUCUGCCUGGUGUCAAUUUGGUUUCUUGACUCAGCCAAACAGCCCACAUAAGAGAUAAAGAGAGGUGAUCUCUGGGUCUCCUACAGCAGUAU